UGGGGAAUUUUGGACAAUGGGCGCAAGCCUGAUCCAGCAAUGCCGCGUGCAGGAUGAAGGCCUUCGGGUUGUAAACCGCUUUUUUACGGAACGAAAAGCUUCUGGUUAAUACCUGGGAGUCAUGACGGUACCGUAAGAAUAAGCACCGGCUAACUACGUGCCAGCAGCCGCGGUAAUACGUAGGGUGCGUGCGUUAAUCGUAAUUACUGGGCGUAAAGCGUGCGCAGGCGGUUAUGUAAGACAGAGGUGAAAUCCCCGGGCUCAACCUGGGAACUGCCUUUGUGGCUACAUGGCUAGAGUGCGGCAGAGGGGGAUGGAAUUCCGCGUGUAGCAGAGAAAUGCGUAGAUAUGCGGAAGAACACCGAUGGAGAAGGCAAUCCCCUGGGCCUGCACUGACGCUCAUGCAAGAAAGCGUGGGGAACAAACA
rnacentral:rRNA from 1 species